GUGGAUCGUUAUGGCUCUUGGUUGCUUGCUUGGCGUACUUGCUAGGCGAGUGGUUGAUUGUUGUAUGUUCUGCGGGAAUGUUGAUCGUAAAGGUGCAUGAGUGGUAUUUGGUUUGUUACGGGUGGUUGGAUGUCUGUUUGUGCAGCAACGUCCACGCGUUCAUACCUYUUCAGUUGUGCUACAAGAUCUUUUUGGUCCUGUGCAUAUCUGGGUCUCUGUGUUGCAUACCCAAUCAAGGGCAUCGUGUGGUUAGAUCAAAGUUUAUUUCGUUACGCGUUGCUUGCGAUGUUGAACGAACCUUAAAGCGGUCUCUAUGAUCCAUUUUGUAUUUGCACUUGCAAAGGCGGAAUGGCUCUUGGAGUGCUGUUUGGUCUCUUGAAUAUGGAACCUGAUGUGUGGCUGUUGGGUCUUCAUUGACCCAAUUUAUGCCCUCGUUUAGCGUUCUUGCUUCUUUAAACGAUCGUCUAUCAUGUGUCGGCUUGUUCGUGCAUGGUGGGCUGUUCAAAGAGGAAUGU
rnacentral:misc_RNA from 1 species